rnacentral:rRNA from 1 species
AUUGAACGCUGGCGGCAGGCCUAACACAUGCAAGUCGAGCGAGCGGCGGACGGGUGAGUAAUGUAUGGGGACCUGCCCGAUAGAGGGGGAUAACUACUGGAAACGGUGGCUAAUACCGCAUACUAUUGGAUGAACCCAUAUGGGAUUAGCUAGUAGGUGGGGUAAAGGCUCACCUAGGCGACGAUCCCUAGCUGGUCUGAGAGGAUGAUCAGCCACACUGGGAAUGAGACACGGCCCAGACGCCUACGGGAGGCAGCAGUGGGGAAUAUUGCACAAUGGGGGCAAGCCUGAUGCAGCCAUGCCGCGUGUAUGAAGAAGGCCUUCGGGUUGUAAAGUACUUUCAGCGGGGAGGCGGUACCUGCAGAAGAAGCACCGGCUAACUACGUGCCAGCAGCCGCGGUAAUUC